UAGGGAAUAUUGGACAAUGGAGGCAACUCUGAUCCAGCCAUGCCGCGUGAAUGAUGAAGGCCUUAGGGUUGUAAAGUUCUUUUAGUGGGGAAGAUAAUGACGGUACCCACAGAAAAAGCCCCGGCUAACUCUGUGCCAGCAGCCGCGGUAAUACAGAGGGGGCUAGCGUUGUUCGGAAUUACUGGGCGUAAAGGGCGCGUAGGCGGCCUAUUAAGUUAGAAGUGAAAUCCCGAAGCUUAACUUCGGAAUUGCUUUUAAUACUGAUAGGCUAGAAAUUGGUAGGGGAUAGUGGAAUUCCUAGUGUAGGAGUGAAAUCCGUAGAUAUUAGGAGGAACACCAGUGGCGAAGGCGGCUAUCUGGACCAAUAUUGACGCUGAGGCGCGAAAGUGUGGGGAGCAAACAG
rnacentral:rRNA from 1 species